GCCAUUAUAGCUCAGUAGGUAGAGCACUUCCAUGGUAAGGAAGGGGUCGGCAGUUCGAUUCUGCCUAAUGGCUCCA
rnacentral:tRNA from 1 species